CCCGGGUCGCGCUCUCUGGGACUGGGACUGGGACUGCCCCAGACCAGCCGCCCUCCGCCGGCGCUGAGGAUGUUCCUCCCCAGAGACCUAACGGGGGCUUCGCCAGUCGCGCAGGAAGCAGCACCGCGAGGACAAAAAAUCGAAGGUGGCUGGAAGUCUCGAGUGUCCCACCAGCUCUGAGGCUGGUGACUUUUCGGGGGGUUGAGGAGUUCCUUAGCGGCUCUUGAUUGCGUGGGCAGCCCGCGCGCCCUGGGCGGUGGAGAGGGAGCGGUCUAGAGGGCCUCCAUCCUCCCAGCCAAGGAACUUGUUGGGGGGUAGGGUGGGGACAGGAGUGAGAGAAGGGGACGAAGUGCAGGGAGUAGGAAGCUCCAGAGGUGGAGGGGAGCUGAGGCUGCGAGCCACGCCCUGCUGCGGGUUGAACCUCGGGCCGCUGCGCUCCAGGACGUUGGUGACCCAGGAAGAGCGCGCUUCCGGCUACGCUCGCGCUCCGGAAGUAGCGUCUCCACGCCAGUUCGUCCCCACAUGGCCUGCGUUUUCUGUUGCCUACCCAGCAGCGCCUCGAGUGAGAAGACUGCGUGGCCCUGAGAACGCAUUUUCUGGGUCUGCUCUGGGUAACUUGGAAUGGAAGCAGAAGCUCCAGGGAGACAAAGGUUUUCUUUUGGAACCUGAUCGGUCUCUAAAUAAUGCAUGUGGAAAGAAGGUCCAGACAAGGCUGUAAAUCCUAGAGAAAACCUAACUUUUCAGCUCCCUGAAAUUAUGAAAAUUUGACAGCCCCGCUGCAGCAUCCUGAGGUCAUCCAAACUGAAGACAGAAAACAAAUUCAGUAUAUUAAUGGGAACACGGGAUCCAUUCGGAAAUUGUCCUUGGAAGGUCAAGUUUAGUAGGAAAAUCUAGCCCCCUCCCCCCCGCAUUGGAUUACAUUUUUAGACCAUGAAAUCUCUGGUUCUUUAUUCUUCUUAACUUAACAAAGGUUUAUUGUUAUUUAAUAAAUUUUCGUGUUUAAUUAAAAUGUACUGCACGUGCUUCUGCUCUCCUGAGUAUGCCCCGAUUUUUACUGAAGUGAGCAACGGUGUUUGAUUGUGUGUAAAUGCUACCUGACUGUCCCUUAAAGUUUAUAUGCUUAAGCUAAAAGAAACAAAACUAUUUCCUUACAUUUCUCCUUUUUUCGUUUUCAGCACUUCUUCCUUUUAUUUCCCCAUUUCCACUGCUAACCAAAGUGUAUUUAGAAUACCUGUGUUUUAGUUGUGCCCCAGGAUUUAAAAAGUGCAGUAAAUAUAUUUCAAAUUCAAUUAAACUAAGCAGAGACAGAGGUUAAUUAAAAUCUUCGUGUGAGAAUUGUCAUAGUGUUAAAUGCAAUGUUGCCUGUCAGUUGUUAUCUAUGUAAUUGUAUUAAAUUUUUCUGAGAUCAGAUUCCAAAAUAAUGUAUGUUAAUUCUUGUAAAUCUCCUGAGUUAGGGCAAGUAAAGACUUCCACACCCUGGUGACACUUUGGGGGUACUUUUCCUCGAUUUUUUGACUUUGUUUUUACUGGGAUUUAAGACAUAGGGUGGGGAGUGUCCCUUUGGGGUCCACACUUUUGUGUGUCACCUGGAAAAGCACCGGAAGAAAGUGAUGUGCAAGACUCUGAGCGAAGGGGACACAGGAGGAAGGCUCGGUUCAGUCAUCGUGCGCAUUCCUGGCAGGAAUACUGAGAAACUAAAUUUCAGCUGCCUCCCUGGCCCUUACGGAAUUUAUUAUCUAACUGGAAUUGCAAAGACCAUGAGAAGGGCGCCUAAAAAUACAAGGUGAUAUAAUGCUGCAGGUCAAGUAGGACUGGCAAUAAGCUCACUCUAGAGAAAGAAAAUCCUCGCUGGCUGCUUAGGGAAGCUUCGUAGAAGAGGUGGGUUAGUGUGGGAGCGUCCUUUUUUUUUUUUUUACUAGGACAGGUUCCCGGAGAGGUCUAGGACUUUGGAAUAGAGACAAGUGAAGGGGGGCAUGUGCCAAAGGCAGAGUUGAAUCUUAGAGUGGUUUGGUAAUUCUUAAAUUGCAUUUAGUGACUGAAUGGGGCAUGGGGUUUGCUUACUUGUAUACCCUAGAUCCCUGAGAUAGUCUUUGGGCAAGCACCUCUCUCCCCCUCCCCCUCCCUCCUCCUCUUCCCCU
rnacentral:lncRNA from 1 species